rnacentral:rRNA from 1 species
CCUACGGGUGGCUGCAGUGAGGAAUAUUGGUCAAUGGACGAGAGCCUGAACCAGCCAAGUCGCGUGAGGGAAGACUGCCCUAUGGAUUGUAAACCUCUUUUAUCUGGGAGUAAAAUGUUCCACGUGUGGCAUUCUGUGAGUACCAGAUUAAAAAGCAUCGGCUAACUCCGUGCCAGCAGCCGCGGUAAUACGGAGGAUGCGAGCGUUGUCCGGAUUUAUUGGGUUUAAAGGGAGGGCAGGGGGGUAGUUAAGUCAGUUGGGAAAUUUAGCGGCUCAACCGCAAGAGUGCAGUUGAAACUGGGAGUCUUGAGUAAAGGAGAGGUAUGCGGAAUUCGUGGUGUAGCGGUGAAAUGCUUAGAUAGCACGAAGAACUCUGAUUGCGAAGGCAGCUUACUGGACAGCAACUGACGCUGAGGCACGAAAGUGUGGGUAUCGAACAGGAUUAGAUACCCGAGUAGUC